GACAGAGGGUGCAAACGUUGUUCGGAAUUACUGGGCGUAAAGCGCGUGUAGGCGGCUAAGUAAGUCGGGCGUGAAAUCCCACGGCUCAACCGUGGAAGUGCACUCGAAACUGCAUAGCUAGAGUCCUGGAGAGGAAGGUGGAAUGCUUGGUGUAGAGGUGAAAUUCGUAGAUAUCAAGCGGAACACCGGUGGCGAAGGCGGCCUUAGCUGGACCAGUGACGUGACGCUGAGACGCGAAAGCGUGGG
rnacentral:rRNA from 1 species